CUCCAUGGCUCUGAUGGUAAAGAAUCCACCUGCAAUGUGGGAGACCUGGGUUCGAUCCCUGCAUUGGGA
rfam:Ovis aries breed Texel chromosome 16, whole genome shotgun sequence.